UAAAUGUUAUAAGAGGUACUACAUACAACGUAAUAGGUAUACAUACAACGUAUACAUACAACGUAAUAGGUAGCUUAUGUUAAAUCAAUUAUUUUUUGUUUAGAAAAGGAACAUUAUUAUGAAAGGAUGGAAGUACGUAAAACUUCUAAACUAAAAAAUAUCUCAAACAUACGUGGGGUACUUACAUUACAUUACUUUCGUUAUAACUUAUAAUAGACCUCAAAACACCGUGUUGCGCGCGCUAAAGCGCAUCACUAUCAGUCAUGUUGUACAUAAAAUGAUCAUUCAUAUAUACUUUUUUUCAUAAUUUUUUGUUGACCCAUUUAGAAGAAAUGGGCUCCAGAAGUUAACAGUUUUUCGACAACAAACGGCGCGUAGCGCCUUAAAUUACUAAAAUUGGUGAAAAUUUUAGCGAUGUAAUCCACCCCCGUGUACAUUGAUGUCAAAGUUGAGUAAAGUAGAUUUUAACUUCAAGUCCUAAAUAUUUCUGGAAUAAGCCACUUAAAGAUGAAUAAUAGUUGUUUGAGGUACAACUUUUUGUUGUGAUUUUUGCCCGAGGAAGCAUUCAACUCGUAUGUAGGUACUCACGUUGUGAAUAAUUUGACAAACUUAAAAACAUAAGUACGUACGAUUCGAACUUUAGGAUGCGAUGUUGUCAGGUCAUUAGCUUCACGGUCACCGUCGUUGCGAUUUGGCAGGCUGGCAACGUCGCCUGCUUUCAUUGAAGUACGAAAUUAUUGUUACCCAAAUUGUACUUUCAUAACGUUCCUCUCUACGGCACAAGACAUUUUAAAACACUCCCCUACUUCAGGGUAAAGUUGUCAAGUUGUUUCUUAAAAAAAUAUAUUUAAAAUUGAAGCAUAUUAUAUUUUAUUGUAUUUUUAUACAAUAUAUUAUGCUUUAUUUUAUUCUAACUGAACACACAUGCACUAGACAAGCACAAUCGUGAAGUUAUUUUUAGGGAGACAAAGAAAUUUAAAUGGCAACACUCAAAAUAAGUUGUCACUGUUCCAAUCCAAUUUGUAAUGUAAUGUUUUUGAAUAAAUCUUUCUUUGAUUUUUGAUUUGAUUCUAAAUGUAGAAAUUUGAUUAGAUACAUACUGAACGUCACUUGCGACUUUGUCUUGCAGGCACAAAAUAGUGAAUUCAACUAAAGUAAAGCUAAAGCUAUUGAAAUGAAGUUCCGGUUUGGGAAUCAGUGAUGAAAAUUGCAUGCGAAUGGAUUAUCACUUAAGGAACCAGUCUCUAGCUACUAGAAGUAACAGUAUAGUAUGGGGCAAGACAAUGAGAUGAGAUAUGGUCAAUGCAUCUCAUUACCCAAUUAAAAUAUUUUGAGGUAAAAAUGGUAACAAUUUUUAUACCUGCCUCAAUGGAUACAGACACAAGCUACGAAAAUCUUUUUAAUAGUAAUAAAUCCUCAUAAAAAAGAAACAC